rnacentral:rRNA from 1 species
UAGGGAAUAUUGGACAAUGGGGGCAACCCUGAUCCAGCCAUGCCGCGUGAGUGAAGAAGGCCCUCGGGUUGUAAAGCUCUUUUGUCCGGAAAGAAAAGCUUCGGGUUAAUACCCCGGGGUUCUGACGGCACCGGAAGAAUAAGCACCGGCUAACUUCGUGCCAGCAGCCGCGGUAAUACGAAGGGUGCAAGCGUUACUCGGAAUUACUGGGCGUAAAGCGUGCGUAGGUGGUUGUUUAAGUCUGAUGUGAAAGCCCUGGGCUCAACCUGGGAAUGGCAUUGGAAACUGGGCAGCUAGAGUGCGGUAGAGGGUAGUGGAAUUCCCGGUGUAGCAGUGAAAUGCGUAGAGAUCGGGAGGAACAUCUGUGGCGAAGGCGACUGCCUGGACCAGCACUGACACUGAGGCACGAAAGCGUGGGGAGCAAACA